AACGCGAAGAACCUUACCAGGUCUUGACAUCCCUCUGACCGUCCUAGAGAUAGGGCUUUCCUUCGGGACAGAGGAGACAGGUGGUGCAUGGUUGUCGUCAGCUCGUGUCGUGAGAUGUUGGGUUAAGUCCCGCAACGAGCGCAACCCUUGAUCUUAGUUGCCAGCACAUCAUGGUGGGCACUCUAGGAUGACUGCCGGUGACAAACCGGAGGAAGGCGGGGAUGACGUCAAAUCAUCAUGCCCCUUAUGACCUGGGCUACACACGUACUACAAUGGCCGGUACAACGGGAAGCGAAGCCGCGAGGUGGAGCGAAUCCUAGAAAAGCCGGUCUCAGUUCGGAUUGCAGGCUGCAACUCGCCUGCAUGAAGUCGGAAUUGCUAGUAAUCGCGGAUCAGCAUGCCGCGGUGAAUACGUUCCCGGGCCUUGUACACACCGCUACAGU
rnacentral:rRNA from 1 species